rnacentral:rRNA from 1 species
AGAGACAGCAGUCGCCACGGUAAUACGUAGGGGGCAGGCGUUAUCCGGAAUUACUGGGUGUAAAGGGAGCGUAGACGGUUAAACAAGUCUGAAGUGAAAUGCCAGGGCUCAACCCCGGAGCUGCUUUGGGAACUGUAGAACUGGAGUGUCGGAGGGGUAAGCGGAAUUCCCAGUGUAGCGGUGAAAUGCGUAGAUAUUGGGAGGAACACCGGCGGCGAAGGCGGCUUACUGGACGACAACUGACGUUGAGGCUCGAAGGCGUGGGUAGCAAACAGGAUUAGAUACCCCCGUAGUCCCUGUCUCUUAUAC